CUUGAACGCUGGCGGCAGGCCUAACACAUGCAAGUCGAACGAGUGGCGGACGGGUGAGUAAUGUCUGGGAAACUGCCUGAUGGAGGGGGAUAACUACUGGACACGGUAGCUAAUUCCGCAUACCAUCAGAUGUGCCCAGAUGGGAUUAGCUUGUUGGUGGGGUAACGGCUCACCAAGGCGACGAUGCCUAGCUGGUCUGAGAGGAUGACCAACCUCCCAGUAACUGAGACACGGGCCAGACUCCUACGAGAGGCGGCAGUAGGGAGUAUGGCACAAUGGGCGCAAGCAAAAGGCAGCCAGGCAGAGUGUAUGAAAAAGGCCUUCGGGUUGUAAAGUACUUUCAGCAAAGAGACGUUGCACGCAGAAGAAGCGCCGGCUAACUCCGUGCCGGCAGCCGCGGAAAUUC
rnacentral:rRNA from 1 species